GUACACGAGUGCUUGGCGGAUAGGUUGCUGUAUACUUUACGUUGCCUGGUGGGCAAUAAAACACGUAACACACGGUCGAAAAUAGCCGCAAUCCGCGUAAUAGUGUGAAAAUUUGUUGGGGUUACCAUUUUCACAUCGCAAUAAACGGAUAACCGUUGACUGCAGAGGUUGGAAACGUUCAGGAAAUCAAUGCCUUUGAAGAGAGUACAGUUACUUAUUUUCCUACUUCUUCUGUGCGGACUGCAUAUCCAAGCACAGAGUUCUAGAUGUACCAAGGGGUCGUGUUCUGUCCUAGCAUGUUGCACUGGAUAUUAUUGCAGACACGUUGGCAUUCCUCGUCCCAGAUGUUAUGUACGCACCUGAGUGCUGUUUAUGUCUAAAGUUAAAGACGCACAUUUUCAAAAUGUUAUUUACUGGAUAAUCUAAUAAUGCAUUUAUAACAUUUGAAAAACAAACAAAAAU